UCUGUUGGCUGUCUCCUCAAAUCUAUUGAUUGUUUUGUUUGAUGUGCAGAAACCUCCUUCCUUAGGUUUGGUUUGGUUUUGGGGGGCUGCUGCUGCCACUAGCACCAAGAAUCUGAGGGGAGACCCUGUGUCAUGUAGAGUGAGUGAGCACAGCUCUGGGGCUUACGUCCAAAACUCAUACUGUUGUAGGAUGCAGGGGUCUACUCAUCAGACCAUAAAUUGCCCUCACUCUGGCUCUGGUUUCUUCUUGUAGCAGCAGAACAGGGAGCAGCAGCAUCUUUCUACAUAGCCAAUGGAAUCCAGCAUUUUGCCAUGUCGGGGAGUGGAGGGAGGCAUAGUGUCUUCCUUUUUUGUUGCAAAGUAGCCCCUGGGACCCCAGUUAAGUCUGCAGGCUGGGGAUUGAAUCAGUUGGAUACUGUGGAUUCUCCCUCAGUUAAAGCUGCAAGUGGUGAGGCACAAGAGUUCCUAAAGAGUGUGAGUGGGAGAAAUUACAUCUACAAGAGUAGUGGGGAUGAUUGGCCUGAGAAAAGAGAAGACUUGAAAACUGUCUGCAAAUAAGCAAGUUUUCAGAAACUCAAAAAGGAAAGUUAGUGCUCCAAGGAGGUCUCCAAGUAUGAACUAGACCGCAGUGAACAGUGGAGAUGGAAAACCUACAGGAAGUCUACAUUGUACGUUCACUCUUGCUGAGACCUCAGAAAUAUCUGAUCACUUCUUGGAAAUUGUCCUGGGAAUAUUUGAACUAAAAGUGCUAUGCUGAAGAGGCUAUUUUGUCCCUACCUGCUGCUGAGAGGUAUUGUUUGGUUCUCUGCAAAAGAUUUUGGCAAGAUACUUAGUUUGAAAAAAAUUCUCAUUCUCAUUUAUAAAAUGGCAUAGAAUAAUAACUAUAUUAUAUGAUCAUUUGGGAGUAAAUAAGAGAAUUUAUGUACACUUUAUUUCAUAGCAGCUGUUAUAUAGUGCUUCCUCCAUAAGGAUUUUAUUUAUGAUCAUAAAGUUUCUAAGAAAAACACUUCUAAAUAUGUGUAAGAAGGAACUAACCUCAAUGACUAAGAUCUCUUAAGGCCCCACUUUAUCCAGUGCCUAUUAAACUAAGCUUUCAAACCUGCUGGGUCAGUAGGUCAGGUCAGAGCCUUCAAAUAAUUCAGUCCAAACCUUUCUUCUUGGGAUCCUAGUUAGGAAGGAUCAGGGCAUCUUUCCACAUGAUUGAAACUAAGAUUUGAUUCUGCACUAACCUAGAAAUCCAUGUGCAUACAACUUUGCUUUUUUUUAGAUCUUAUAUUAAAAUCAAAUUUUAAUAUUAAAAUUAUUACAUAUGGGGAAUUUUAAAAACUAGCCAAUAUUAUGUCCUUCUUUGAUUAUGUUAAGUAUGUAUGAGUACUUCAAAGGAAAAAAAAACAAAGCAAUGAAAUAAAUUCUAAUAAGUUAAAAGCA
rnacentral:lncRNA from 1 species